rnacentral:lncRNA from 12 species
GUGACAGUGCCAUAUAAGCCUAGAAAAAAUCAGGAAAAUGUUGAUUUCAAAUUUCCUAUCUCUGUUGACCACUAGAGUACCUGGGAAAUGUCAAUAUUUUGGCACCCAAAUUACCUCUCCCAGCCUCCCUUUCACAUCCUGAAAUAGCAGAAAACGGUCUUCCAUCCAUACAGGCUUAUCUUCUUCAGAUGCUAUGAAAAUUGCAUACAACUUAUCAUCUAUGAUUAAUUAUUUAACUAUGAGACACAGAAGAGUUGAAAAGGAUGUUCCUGGACUUGAUGGUAGGGUAACUCUGCCAGGGCCAGCCUGUAACGGGUGGUGCUGCCUCUGUGUGAUUUAUUUACAGUAGUCACACGUCAGAGAAUACGCUCUGUACCUCAAAUAGGGCAAUUGCAAUUACUUUUUUUUUUUUUUUUAAGAUUUUAUUUAUUUAUUCCGGGAGGCAGAGACACAGGCAGAGGGAGAAGCAGGCUCCCUGCCAGGAGCCGGACAUGGGACUCGAUCCCAGGACUCCAGGAUCACGCCCUGGGCUGAAGGCGGACGCUCAACCGCUGAGCCACCUGGGCGUCCCGCGAUUACUUUUCUAAUCAAAUGUACACACAGACUCAGAUACAGAGUAAACAGGGUUGGACUGGAGAGGAGAGGCGUGAGCACUCCCCACGGGCGGGUGGGGCAGUCAGGGUCGCCGCGAAGGCCGCCUGCACCUUGCGGGACGCGCGCUGUCUGCCCGCCGGGCGCUGGGGCUCACCAGGGGGUGAGCCCGUUCACCGCUGCAGCGCAUGCGUCAGAGCGAAAUCUCGCCGUGAGCGGGAAUCUCACUGAGGUCUGUCUCGGGCGGUUUUUACGUCCCCUAUGAGGAAGGAGGUCAGCCCGUAUCCGGCCGUCCAGGCCUGCAUCCUCCUUGAGCGGGAUCAGGUGGACCGCAUGCUAUUUCCAGGUGUUUCCAAGUCCGUUGGGGUGGGGCAUGUAAGACUGCUCCUUGUCAGCUGGCCUCCUGACGCAGCUGUUCAACAGCCUUUCUUCUGGCACGGUGACAAAGCUGACGUGGCUCUUAGCCUAAACGACUCCAUUUUGUGGAGCAGCCAUUUUAAGGAAAACAGUCACAUAGAAGCCUGACAUACACUAAGAAAGAUGCCAUUGGGUCUUCCCCCACGCA